GAUGAACGCUGGCGGCGUGCCUAAUACAUGCAAGUCGAGCGAACGGACGAGAAGCUUGCUUUUCUGAUGUUAGCGGCGGACGGGUGAGUAACACGUGGAUAACCUACCUAUAAGACUGGGAUAACUUCGGGAAACCGGAGCUAAUACCGGAUAAUAUUUUGAACCGCAUGGUUCAAAAGUGGAAGACGGUCUUGCUGUCACUUAUAGAUGGAUCCGCGCUGCAUUAGCUAGUUGGUAAGGUAACGGCUUACCAAGGCAACGAUGCAUAGCCGACCUGAGAGGGUGAUCGGCCACACUGGAACUGAGACACGGCCCAGACUCCUACGGGAGGCAGCAGUAGGGAAUCUUCCGCAAUGGGCGAAAGCCUGACGGAGCAACGCCGCGUGAGUGAUGAAGGUCUUCGGAUCGUAAAACUCUGUUAUUCGGGAAGAACAUAUGUGUAAGUAACUGUGCACAUCUUGACGGUACCUAAUCAGAAAGCCACGGCUAACUACGUG
rnacentral:rRNA from 1 species